AGAGUUUGAUCCUGGCUCAGAGUGAACGCUGGCGGCGUGCCUAAUACAUGCAAGUCGAACGGACGAGUAAGAGCUUGCUCUUAUGAGUUAGUGGCGCACGGGUGAGUAAUGUAUAGCUAAUCUGCCCUACACUAGAGGACAACAGUUGGAAACGACUGCUAAUACUCUAUACUCCUCUCUAGCAUAAGUUAGAUAGGGAAAGUUUUUCGGUGUAGGAUGAGGCUAUAUUGUAUCAGCUAGUUGGUGAGGUAAUGGCUCACCAAGGCUAUGACGCAUAACUGGUCUGAGAGGAUGAUCAGUCACACUGGAACUGAGACACGGUCCAGACUCCUACGGGAGGCAGCAGUAGGGAAUAUUGCUCAAUGGGGGAAACCCUGAAGCAGCAACGCCGCGUGGAGGAUGACACUUUUCGGAGCGUAAACUCCUUUUGUUAGGGAAGAACAAUGACGGUACCUAACGAAUAAGCACCGGCUAACUCCGUG
rnacentral:rRNA from 1 species